GUUUUAAUAGUUUAAUAAAAAUAUAGAUUUUGUAAAUCUAAGAUAAUUUUUUUUAAAACU
rnacentral:tRNA from 1 species